AUGCAAGGGAUGGCACUAGCAAUCCAGCAUUGCAACUUGCCGAUCAUUGUUCAAUCUGAUUCUGUCCAAGCUCUUUUGUCUAUGACCGGUGAAAGUCUGUCCCGGUCGGCGUAUGGUCAUUUAGUUGCUGAGAUUCGUCUUCUUUUGGGUGAAAGAGAGUUUGUUCCUUUGAAAAUUAAGCACGAACAUAAUAGGAUAGUAGAUUGUUUGGCUGUGUAUAGUCGUACAGAAAGAACUACUGCUGUAUGGCUUGGACAGGGCCCUCCUUGCAUUGAGGAGCUUUUGCCACUUGAUUGUAACCCUAUGAAUAUGGAAUAA
rnacentral:rRNA from 1 species